rnacentral:rRNA from 1 species
GACGGAGGAUGCAAGCGUUAUCCGGAAUUAUUGGGCGUAAAGCGUCCGCAGGUGGACAUACAAGUCUGCUGUCAAAGUGCAGAGCUUAACUCUGUAAAGGCGGUGGAAACUGUAGGUCUUGAGUAUGGUAGGGGUAGAGGGAAUUCCCGGUGUAGCGGUGAAAUGCGUAGAUCUUGGAAAGACCACCAAUGGCGAAGGCACUCUACUGGGCCAUAACUGACACUAAGAGACGAAAGCUAGGGGAGCAAAUGGG